AACGAACGCUGGCGGCAUGCCUAACACAUGCAAGUCGAACGAGCCUCUCGGUUCUAUCGGCGCCCGGCUGCUUAAUGCCUCGUAACCUGGCGCCAGUCUCUGCAUAACACCUCGGAGGAACUGCAACUACUGCCUAAUACCUUCGGGCCAAGGAUUUAUUGCCUAAGGAUGGGCCCGCGCUGGAUUAGCUAGUUGGUAGGGUAAAGGCUUACCAAGGCGACGUUCCAUAGCUGGUCUGAGAGGAUGAUCAGCCACACUGGGACUGAGACACGGCCCAGACUCCUACGGGAGGCAGCAGUGGGGAAUAUUGGACAAUGGGCGAAAGCCUGAUCCAGCCAUGCCGCGUGAGUGAUGAAGGCCUUAGGGUUGUAAAGCUCUUUUACCCGGGAUGAUAAUGACAGUACCGGAGGAAUAAGCUCCGGCUAACUUCGUG
rnacentral:rRNA from 1 species